rnacentral:sRNA from 1 species
GGGCCCCCAGGAGGCAGCCCUUCAGGGGCUGCCCGGGCCAGGAUGAGCUGUGUGACCUUGGCGAGGUCAUUUUUCUCCUUGAGCCACAGUGGCCCCAUCCGUCAAGUGGGGAUGAAAGGACCUGCUCAGGCUGUCUUGCAGAGGAGCAUGUGGAUGUGAACAUCUUUGAAAGCGCCCCGGGAUGCCGUCUGGAGCCCGGAUGCCCCACCAGGGGGCGCCCAUGGGCCCCCCGGGCUCCCCGUACAUGGGCAGCCCCGCCGUGCGACCCGGCCUGGCCCCCGCGGGCAUGGAGCCCGCCCGCAAGCGAGCAGCGCCCCCGCCCGGGCAGAGCCAGACACAGAGCCAGGGCCAGCCGGUGCCCACCGCCCCCGCGCGGAGCCGCAGUGCCAAGAGGAGGAAGAUGGCUGACAAAAUCCUCCCUCAAAGGAUUCGGGAGCUGGUCCCCGAGUCCCAGGCUUACAUGGACCUCUUGGCGUUUGAGAGGAAACUGGAUCAAACCAUCAUGCGGAAGCGGGUGGACAUCCAGGAGGCUUUGAAGAGGCCCAUGAAGCAAAAGCGGAAGCUGCGACUCUAUAUCUCCAACACUUUUAACCCUGCGAAGCCUGAUGCUGAGGAUUCCGAUGGCAGCAUUGCUUCCUGGGAGCUACGGGUGGAGGGGAAGCUCCUGGAUGAU